UACGUGCCACAAUAGUGCGGGAUUUGAAAACACAGUUUGCAGCACGGAAGUCAAUCUUCACCAAACCGAAGACGCAGUGUAAGGCCGCAACUAUUGCUUCGUAUCAGGUCAGUCAAGUCCUUGCCAAAUAUAACAAGCCAUUCAAAGACGGCAAUAUUAUGAAGGAAGCCUUUCUCGAGGCACUAUGAACCUUAAAUUGUC